GAUAACGCUGCCGCCGCCGCCUCCCCGCGCACGGGCAGUGUGGCCAGGGGCGGCAGCCAGAGCAGCAGCCACCACCGCCCUUGGCGCGGCCCCAUUUCGUUAGGGGUCAGCUCCGUGCGACCCGAGCCCUAGGGGACCGGCUCCGCUGCGAGGAGCGGAAGUGGCGCGGGGGCUCAGAGAAGGCGGAGGGGGCGGUGAGGCCCGAACGCGGGAAAGGCGGAGACCCCGCCUCCCCGGGGCGGAGGGAGAGUUGGGCUCGUUGCUCCAGCCUCCGCCCGCGGCCUCGGGGCACGGCGGGCCCAGGCCGGAGGAGCUUUCGGUGGCGCGACCCCGCUGGCAUGCUCCCGGCCUCGGCCUCGGCCUCGGCCUUGGCCUCCGGGCCUCCAGCGCACGCGGGGCGUCCAGGGCCUCAUCUUCCCCUGGGGACCGCCCGGCCGUGUCCCGCUGCCCUCGGCGCAGGGGUGGGAGUUGCAGAGAGGAAGAGUCGCUAACCCGGAGUGUUUCUUAAAACUUGGCUGACCUGUGACCUGCGGAUUUGGAGGCUGAAUUCUCCGAGCACCUGUGCGGUGUGCACUUGCUUCUUGCAAGACAGCUUUUGUACCUAACCACAUUCAUUUUGAUUUGGUUUAAUUUUGGAUGGCACUAUGGAAAGUAGCUAAAAUAAACAGGAAGCUACUGCAGGAUAUAAUCUAAGAAAAUAAGGGGAAGAAAACAAGAAAGAGGAAGACAUUGGAUCCAAGAAAUGGGGGAUCUAUCACCUUACAGAUGAAAAGAGAAUCUACAUGAUCUUUGUGAAGGUGAUUUGAGCAUAGCAGCUCUGCAGGAAACCUGGAGAGCAACAAGUGAGAUUAAUACAGGACACACAGCUCUAGUAAGGAUGUCACUAAGGAAAUUAAAAUCAUUUGUUGUAGAAUACUUUAUGAAUCAAUGCAGUAAGAGGAGGUUUACACUUCUGGUGAAGAAUAGGGAAUGAAUUUGUGAUAGGCAUGUAGAAAAUUAUGCAAACAAAUAAAAUAAUAAUCAACUCCUGGGAAAAUAGGAAUUUGUACCAAAAGUGUCAAUAUAAUCUUAUAUAUAUAUGCCUCAGUUUUGAAUAAUAUUUGUCAUUUUAAUUAUGUAAAAACUGAAUAAUUAUCGGCCGGGCACAGUGGCUUACGCUUGUAAUCCCAGCACUUUGGGAAGCUGAGGCAGGUGGAUCACCUGAGGUUAGGAGUUCGAGACCAGCCUGACCAACAUGGAGAAACCCCGUCUCUACUAAAAAUACAAAAUUAGCUGGGCGUGGUGGCGCAUGCCUGUAAUCCCAGCUACUCUGGAGGCUGGGGCAGGAGAAUCGCUUGAACCCAGAAGGCGGAGGUUGCUGUGAGCCGAGAUUGCGCCAUUGCACUCCAACCUGAGCAACAAGAGCAAAACUCCAUCUCAAAACAAAACAAAACAAAACAACAAAAAACUCAAUAAUUAUCAGAGAAAAACACUGUAAUAUAACUAUAUUGAAAGAAUAAGAAGAGAAUGUAAGAGACUAAAUCCGUAUCUCCCACAGAAGGGAGUCAUAGAUAAUAAUAUCUGGAACUGAAAAAAAAAUCAAGAAACAGCAGUUUAAAAUGUGGAGAUAAACACCAAAAGAAACAGCUGAGGCCAGGUGUGGUGGCUCACACUGAAAGACUUGAGCAAGUUUGCUUUUGGGAAUGGAAAUGGAAUUAGAACAUGCAGGUUGUACAGGGAAAAGGGCUGCUCUUUGUCUUUUAGACUUUGAGGAGCUAUUUGGCUUUUAAAGCUCUGUGCAUUUAUAACUUAGAUGGAAAAUAUAAACAAUUUUAGAAAGAAAAAUGACAAUAUAUGUAUUUUUGAGAUAUGGAGGCAAACAUUCUAAACGCUAAAAAGAGAAAAGCUUGAGAGUGGUUUCUUUUGGGGAGCAGGACAGGAGUUGAUUUUCACUGUAAUUAUUACUAAGCCAUUGAUUUUAUAGAGUUGUGAGGCCAUUACCUUGAGACAAAUUUUAAAUAAAAAAAGGAAAGUCCAGGAAGGAAUUCAGGCAUGAGGACAUUUAAGAACUUUGAAUUUUAGCUUUGUUGCUUGUAGUUUCCCAAUUUUAAAAAUCUUUAACAUCUUCCAUACCAGGAGAUAAGCAGUAAAUGAGAGAACACAUUUGGAAGCUCUUGGUAGACUGAAAAUAACUAAGGGAGGUUCCCUUCUUUCCUCUUACAGAUAAAACUUGGUUUUCAAUAGUAUAAACUCAAUCUUUGAAAAACCCACCUCUUUUCCUAGACUCACAAGGGUGCUUCCAUGACAUCUUGGAUAUAAAAGGAAUACUUAGUGUACAUGUGAAUAAUUAAGUCAUUUUUUAAAAUGCCCUAUGUGAAAUAAGAAAUUACCUCUGUGUAAUUCAACUAGUCUUGCAAUGAGACCCUUUCUCCAACAAUAAAGUGCAAUAAAUAAUUUACUCACAUGACUUUUCUCAAGCUUUAAUGAUUUUUGAAUGAGUCCCAGAUUCCAUUUUUAUUUACAGCAGAUUCCAUUUUUAUUUAACAGUAAUUAGAAACAAUCCACUCAUUGUGGAAUGCCAUCAGAGCUGGGCUGUGGUGAAUGGGUUAGGAGUAGGGAAUUGAGAAAUUGAUCCCCACAGCUCUUGGGGUAGGCAGUCCUCCUGGAUCAGUAGCCUCUGGACAAGAGCAACCAAAUUGUUUUACCCAGUGUUGUACAAUUAUGAUUGUCUUUGGUUGCCAUAUCACAAAAAAGGUUGGGAAGCACUGCCUUGAACAGUUGCCAUAAAAAUCCCUUAUAAGGACUGAUAGUCUGAUAGUCAUUUAGGUAAAGUCUUGUUCAUUUGUUUACUUACAAAAUGUAUAAGAAAAUUUGCAUAUCUUUAAAUGAGUUUUUGAUGUUUCCAAAUCUGAGUGGAAACAUGUAACAUUAGGUUUAUGAAUGAGUUUGAAUAAAGUUCAACUACAAGUAACUUAAUAGAGACCCCAAUAUAAUAGUUGAAACAAUUUAUAUCAUUAUUCCUUCCUGUAAAAAGAACUCUGGAGAAAGCCAGCCCAAGGGUAGCAUGGUGGCCUCGUUGUCUUCAGGGAUCCUGGUUCCUUUCAGCUUUUGCUCUUACAUGGCCAAGGUAAUCUUCUUAGCAGGAAGCUAAGCCUCCUCCUCGGAGCUGGGAGCCAGAAUGUCCACACCCCAAAGACAGGAUGAAGCAGGAGGAUGGAGCAACAGGAUGGAGGAGGAGAAGAACAGUGCACCCUUUUCCAGGGGGGAAUUCCCAGAAAUCACCAUUCUAUUUCCAUUUGGGUCUCCCUAGUCACAUGUCCACACAAAGCUGUAAGCAUGGAUGCAAAAUGUGUUCUUUUAGUGGGGUAGUGCUAUGUCCAGCUUAAAAUAGCAGUACUAUUAGUUUGAGAGAGAAGAGGGAAAAGGGAUAUUCAGUAGGCACCCAUGUCUUUACAUGUUUUAGUAACUGCCAUGUAAUUCACUUCAAACAAAAACAAUCUGUCCAUUAGUCAUUUUAUAUAUACUGCUAGAAAGGUUAACAUAAGCAUUAAGGAAGACCAGUUAGCAAAUUUAUUGUUUGGAGUCCCGAUUACAUAUUUUUGUUGGAUUUAUUAAUGAUUUAGGCACUGUGGAUAGAGGGUAAAAACUCAGAUUCUGAAGCUGAUUGCCUGGCUUCCAUCCAUUAGCUGUGUGACCUUGGGAAAGUUGCUUGAAUGCUCUGUGCCUUAGUUUUAUUUUCUGUGAGAUGGAGAUAAUAGUAAUUGUACCCAUCUAAUAGAAUUUUGGAGGAUUACAUAAGUUAAUACAGUACAUGUAAAGUACUUAAAAUAGACUUAGCUACUAAUACAUCUUUCUCUUGAAUUAAAACCUUUUCCUUGGCCAGGCACGGUGGCUCACGCCUGUAAUCCCAGCACUUUGGGAGGCUGAGGCAGGUGGAUCACCUGAGGUCAGGAGUUUGAGACAAGCCUGGCCAACAUGGUGAAACACUGUCUCUACUAAAAAUACAAAAAUUAGCCAGGCGUGGUGGUGGGCGCCUGUCAUCCCAGCUACUCUGGAGGCCGAGGCAGGAGAAUCGCUCGAACUCAGGAGACGGAGGUUGCAGUGAGCCAAGAUCCCGCCACUGCACUUCAGUCUGGGUGACAGAGUGAGACUCUGUCUCAAAAAAUAUAAUAAUAAUAAUAAUAAUAAACCUUUUCCUUUAGACUCAUAAGUAGCUGUGACAAUCAGAUUCACUCUCUUACGAAUUUCCAGGUAUGCAGUAUUUUCUUGGCUUUGCAUUUGUAGAUAUGCUGAUCCCUAGAGUCAAACCACAGGGUUUUACUUGAGCUAAUAAAUGUUGUAUCCCAUAGUAGCAUUAUGAAAGGGAAAGGAGUUGGCAUUGGCAAAAUUGAACAAUAACUGGUUUGUCUCUUUUCCCUCCCCUUCUCCCACUUCUUCCUUUUAAUAGACUGUACUAAUGAGAUCACCUCCCUGCCCUCCACACACACAGUCUGAGUUUCCUGUUGCCCCAGGGCUGCAUAGAUUCUUGGUCUCUCUACCCUCUCC
rnacentral:lncRNA from 1 species